AUUCAGCUGACGAGUUCUAAAUAGGACGAAACGCGCGUCCUGGAU
rnacentral:hammerhead_ribozyme from 1 species